CUUGAGGGGAACAGCUUGCCUGGGUCACUCCCUGCCUAGUCAUCCCCUGACCCCAACCAGAAACCCAGUCUCGGCUUCCCCCUUCCAGGGGUCCCACCCUCUGAGUUACCUUUGGUGAAAGUCUAACAAAUACAGGGCAAAGCAAGCAACCUGAAAUCCAGAGAAGUCAUUAAAAAAACCCCUUCUGGCUGUAACCUGAAAGCAUCUUCCAAGCCAGACUGGGGGUAGAGAUGAUGACUCCAACUUCAGUGGGCCUCUUCUUCAAUAGGGGAGCAGCCAGAGAAGAAGCUGGAUCUAGGAAAGACACAGAGGCAGGUAUGAAUAUACCUUGGAAAGGGGCAGAAGCUCAGCCCAGCCAAGCCACUGCAAAUGGUUGACAUACUCUCAGUAGGAUGAGUUGUCCCCUAAGAUUGCUCUAUGAAAAAAAUAAAUAAACUCCAGUCUGUGCCUGACUCCCA